ensembl:lncRNA novel transcript
GGAGCUAGGGAAAGCCUUCAUGGAAAGGGUUUCAUCUUUCUGAACAUUCACCACACUGGUGGACAAAUCCUUUUUGUGUGAGGAAGAUGUGGCUGUUGGGAGAGUCAAGUAAUUGAAUGACGUGAAUUUCCUGGAGUUUCCAUAAGUUCCUAAUGUAAGACAUCAGACCCUAAAGAACCAAAGUUGUUAUUUCUGUGGAAGACCAGCCAACCUAUUCUCACAGCUGAAACAAUGGAUCUGGCCUGCAGAGUGUUAAGGCAUUCUCCAAGUUUCAAAACAAGAGUACACCAUUUUGAAGGCCUAUAAAUAGAAAGAAUUUUUCAAAUAUUAAUUCAGUAAUGACCUCUGUCUUUGGAAAAGAUAAUUGCAAUGUGUUACUGCGAACCAAUUUAAACCUGUAUUUCUCAUUGCAUUUAAUAUUUAAUUUUGUUUUUUAUCAUUAUAUAUCAACAGUUCUUUCUGGAGCAAAGCAAUCCUAUUUGACUUUUUUUUUUUUUAACCUUAUAGUGCACACACACAUGUAUGUGUAGGGUUAUUUAAACAAGGAAACAUUUACAUCAAAAUGUGCAAAGAGUUAUCCUGGAAUAGAAAUGCUGAAAAUAUAUUUUCAAGAAGUUUUAAAAUUCUAGGCUGGCCUCAAUGUAUUCAGUAGCAUGCCAGAAACAGAAAAAAAAAUUUAAUCUCUCCAUUUGCUUAUUCCUAUUAACAUAUAUAGAAAAAAAACUUGCUCUAAACCUAAUGCCUAUGCGAUAUGUUUGUUUCCUGAUGCUGAUGAUAAAUCAUAACCGGGCACUUGGUUAUAUUUUUUAAUGUUCUACAUUUCUAGCACUGCUACUGUAUUCACAAUGAGCUUUAUAUCUGACAGUAAUUUUAUUUUCAGGUUCAGUCAUAUGAUGCCUUUCUAUAGGAAUAGGUUCUAUCACAGGAACAAAUUAUUCAAAUCUAGUUUAACGGACUCAGCAAUUCUCCUCAGUUUUAUCUUGGGCAUUUUGUAUUCCUUUGCCUAAACCUAGUGGCUAUGUAACAAUUCAAUUACCAAAGUCCUUCAUCCAGAAAGUGCUGUUGAUUUCCAGUAAUUCUUAUUCUGUUUGAUUUCUUUUUUUUUUCCUCCUAGUUUAACACAUGCCAGUUGGUGUCGACUGAGUUAAAAAUCUUGAAAUAAGCCUGGCACUGUGUCAGUACAUAGGUUAAAAAAUGAAACAAAAAAAUUUAAUAAAAUAUACGCUAGAAAUGGAAAAUAAGAUUAGCAGUGGCAUUUCUUGUCAUAAGGACAUUUUCUGUCUAUGCACACAAAAUAAAACCAGCUCAGUGUAGCUGAAGAAGAGAGGAAAGAGAGAGGUGGUAUAAAUUGAAAGACGAAAAGGCAGAGACUGAGUGUACAGAAGCGCGUUGAGAGCAUGCAGUCAGCUGGCAAGAAAAGGCAACUCGAAGAGCCUCAGAAGGUAAAACCUCAGUUGGCAGAUAAAGUGGGUAAGAAGCAAGUUUUGAAAUAAAAUAGCAAUAGCAUAAGCAACUUGAAGGAAGAUGAAAAGAGCAAGGUGAUAAAAGUAUGCAAGAGUCUUUGGAGAUUAUUAGUAAUUUUAGGGAAUUACAAUGAUGAAAAGUUAUAAGGGAAAAAGACUUUACAUAUUCUUUAAUAAAAGAAAAUUACCUGUCAAAAUCUGUCUGCAUAGACACUAGUAUUAGAUUCUUGUUCUUCAAGAAAAAGGCAUGUCUGCUGGUCAGGCUGAGGUAUCAUCUAUCCUCUAUUUCUCUAAAUAAUGUUUUUCUGAUAAAAUAUGCAAAUACACAAUAC